CGCUUGAAGGUCACGAGAAACAUUACGUAAAACUGGCAUGCGAUGGUGUAGAGGUUGGGUGAGAAUGACACGUGUUUCAUCAUUAUCAAAGCAGACCCAUCCCCAGCAACUUCAUCCUGCAGAAGGAAAGGCCAGUUUGCAUUUCAAUCGAAGGUCAUGGAGAUCAUUAUGUAAAACGUGUCAGUGGUGUAGAGGUUGGGUGAGAACGGGACGUUUUUCAUCAUUAUCAAGAAGGUAGAAUAGCCGCAAGGCUCGAGAGGUAAGGGUGAGAAAAAUUGGUUCAAAAGGAGAGAUGUAAAGGCGAUUAGGCGAUAGAGAUCAGUCGACUGUCGAGUGAGAUUAGCCGACCCGGCAACAACUGCAGCACUAUAUUCGUCACCAACUGCAUUAUUCCCAUUUGUAAUAGUAGAUAAUUAUGGUUCAUUCUGCUGUUGGUUAUCGUUGUGUCGACGACUGGCGUACCGAUGUCUCCUGGGUAUGGCGAAUACCAAUCCGCAACGCCGCUGUCUGCUGACAAAACAACAUCGAACGCAACGACCAGUUACUACAACGAGGCCCUCCAACUACUACACUGAGAAGGCCGAAUGUUACACAGCCACGUAUGCUGUCCCAGUUUACUACACCGACGGGCCCAAAUAUUACUCUGCUCCAAGCUACUACCAGAGGCUUCUGACUACACCAAGGUCCCCGAGUAUUAAACCACGACCUUUGCUGCCUCCAGAUACUACACACGGCAACAACUGUAGUGUUCUAUCAGUCAUCAACUGCAUUCUUCCGAUUCUCAUUCAUGGUUAACUAUGGCGUCGUUCUACCGUUGGUUAUCGUUUAUUGCUGUGUCGACCACUACCGAUGUCUCAUGGGUAUGGAGGAUACCAAACCGCAACGUCUCCGCCUAACUACAUAACAACAUACGCAAUAGCCAGUUCCUACACUGAUGUCCACUAGUACUACUCCGCUCCCAGCUACUAUACAGAGUCUCUAGCUUAUUACACCAUCGAGGCCCACAAGUACUACACCACUAAGGCACUGGAGUAUUACAGCACAACCUACGCUCCCCCAGUUUACUGCACCAAGGCUCCGAAGUAUUACUCUGCUCCAGCUUACUACACCGAGGCCCCCAAAUACUACUCUGCAUCCAGCUAAAUACCCACAACUAAACAGCGGCUUCUCCAUCGUACUACAUUGAUCCGAAUUACUACUCCGAGGUUCCAGUUUACUACACCAAAAUCUACGCUGCCCUCAGCUACUACACUGAAGCUCCUAUUAACUACAACACCAAGGCAUUCGAGUAUUAUACCACAUUUACGCUUCUCCGACCUACUACACCGAAGCUCCGAAGAAUUACUUACCCCGGAAUUACAACACCACUACAAGAAGACUUAUACUAAAUCCAAAAUUUUUCUUUGUAAAUGGAAAUUGAUCCCUAAUGAAUACACUUUUAAUGCGAG